AUUGAACGCUUGCGGCAGGCCUAACACAUGCAAGUCGAGCGGAGCGGCGGACGGGUGAGUAAUGCCUAGGCAUCUGCCUGGUAGUGCGGGAUAACGUCCGGAAACGGGCGCUAAUACCGCAUCCUCUCGGAUGAGCCUCGGUCGGAUUAGCUUUUUGGUGGGGUACAGGCCUACCAAGGGGACGAUCCGUAACUGGUCUGAGAGGAUGAUCAGUCACACUGGAACUGAGACACGGUCCAGACGCCUACGGGAGGCAGCAGUGGGGAAUAUUGGACAAUGGGCGAAAGCCUGAUCCAGCCAUGCCGCGUGUGUGAAGAAGGUCUUCGGAUUGUAAAGCACUUUAAGUUGGGAGGCGUUACCAACAGAAGAAGCACCGGCUAACUUCGUGCCAGCAGCCGCGGUAAUAC
rnacentral:rRNA from 1 species